UGAUUAUUGGUCAUGUUAUAAAUUGAUUUAACAAAUCGAUCACCCCUAUUGUCAGUUAUCGGUAAAAUGCGUGUGAUUGCACUCUUGACUCCCUGCUUUGCUGUGUCAGCGCUGACCCUAACCACAGAUGGCAAGCCCAUGUGGGCUCCACCAAUGCUAACAGAGGUGAAGUGGUUCAGACCAUCCGAUCCAUAAUCAACCAUCCCAACUACAAUGCAGUAACCACAGAUAACGACAUUGCCAUCAUUCGCGUUUCCUCUCAAUUCUCCUUCAACAACAACGUCGCGCUACUUCUAUCGCCGAGUCCAACUACAAUAUUGAUGACAACCGGAUUGUCUGGGCUACUGGAUGGGAAAGACUUUAUUUUAAUUGACCAGCGUCUGUGCAACUUCGUCUCGUUCGGUUCAGUGUCUCACAGGACACUUAACCAGAACACUUCUAACCAGCACUACCAGACUGUUGGCAGAUUCAUCACUGCUUACAUGUCCGGAGCACGACAUGUAAGCAGUGGCAGCGGGCUUGACAUCGGCGGUCGCUUUUUACUAAUCAUAAUUUAAAGAUAACUUUAUCUAGGUUUUUUGCUUAAACUUCAGUGAAUUUGUUCGAAUAUUCUAUUCCGCGACCAUUACACAGUAGUGUGUCUUGCGCACUAUAUGCUAACUGGUUAAAAAGGUAUAUUUUCGUACUUAGUUACGUCUUACUAGCUCAACAGCGUAAUGUUCUUUUUAUUAUGUCAUCAUUCCCCUGCCCUUUUUCAAUUAUUUUUAUUUGGGGUCGGCGCAACAUAUCUUCAUUCUUCCAUACUUUUCUACCGAAAGUCAUCUCACAAGAAACACUCUUUGCAGCGAUAUCGUCUUUUACACAAUCCAUCCAUAGUUUCUUUGGUCGUCCUCUCCCCCUAUAUCCAUCCACAUCCCUGCUCAACGCCUUCUUUGUUAUGUAGGUGAUUGAAUUAAAAUCUUCCGGUUUAAACGAUUAAUUGAUAAGAAAUAUCGCAUUGCACCAGGGUUUCAUGUAUUUAAAAAGUGAUUGGUCAUGUCUCCUUUCCUCAAAUUGAAUUCAACUUAUCUUAUCUGUAUAGAGCAAUACAAGGUACUUUGCAAAAAACCCGGAGAAGGACUCUUUUAAGAUUAUCUAACGAAAUAGAUGUAAUUUAGAUUUUAAAUAUAUUACGAUACCAUAUUAUCUAUUUAUCACUUGAUAACGUAAGAAAUCAUGUCUAAAAAUAAAUCAUAUACAAAAAAAUAGUUUGACAAAA